rnacentral:rRNA from 1 species
UACCGAGGGUGCAAGCGUUAAUCGGAAUUACUGGGCGUAAAGCGUGCGUAGUCGGUUAUUUAAGUCGGGCGUGAAAGCCCCGGGCUCAACCUGGGAAUUGCGUUCGAUACUGGAUAGCUAGAGUUCGGCAGAGGGAAGCGGAAUUUCGGGUGUAGCGGUGAAAUGCGUAGAUAUCCGAAGGAACAUCAGUGGCGAAAGCGGCUUCCUGGACCAGAACUGACGAUCAGGCACGAAAGCGUGGGGAGCAAACAGG